rnacentral:rRNA from 1 species
UGGGGAAUAUUGGACAAUGGGCGCAAGCCUGAUCCAGCCAUGCCGCGUGAGUGAAGAAGGCCCUAGGGUUGUAAAGCUCUUUCACCCGUGAAGAUGAUGACGGUAGCGGGAGAAGAAGCCCCGGCUAACUCCGUGCCAGCAGCCGCGGUAAUACGGAGGGGGCAAGCGUUGUCCGGACUCACUGGGCGUAAAGGGCGCGCAGGCGGGACGGCGCGUCGGCGCUGAAAGCGCCCGGCUUAACCGGGCGCGGCGCGGCGAUACGACCGACCUGGAGGGAGGCAGAGGGUGGCGGAAUUCCGGGUGUAGUGGUGAAAUGCGUAGAGAUCCGGAGGAACGCCUGUGGCGCAAGCGGCCGCCUGGGCCUGACCUGACGCUGAGGCGCGAAAGCGUGGGGAGCGAACCGGAUUAGAUACCCGUGUAGUCC